GAGGAACUUCCGUGGUCAUCCCAGUCAUGUGAUGUAAGGGCAAUGACAGCAAUGGUAUAAGGAAGAGUCUGGAAGCCACCAUGCCCAGAACCAUCAGCCUCAAGCAAAUCAUCUUCCCUUGUCCUCCUGCUCUCAUCUUACCCUUCAGACAAAAUCCAUGAAUUAUUGAUCAAAUUUGGAUCUCUGUGUGCUGUCCUCCAAUUUAAUACCUUCUCUGUUGCUGUUUUGUUUUCUUUCUUCUGGAACGUGGCAGAGUGCUUCAAGCGAUGAGACUUCCUCUUUGAAGAUCACAGGUGAGAAGAUUAGAUGCUUUCUCGGAAGCCCAGCAACCUGAUGGGAUUGUGGAGUGAGCCAGACCCAAAUCAGAACUUCAUCCCUGCAUGGUUUAUUUUGCUUGUUUGGCAAACUUGCCCCGCAGGCGCCCAAUGGCAUUACACCUCAGCCAGAGAAGAAGCUCUUAAGGGAUCAGGUGCCUCAUUUCACCCAUGGGCUGCUCCAGCAUUUCCAGCCUCCUCACUCCUGACACACACAGGCACGUGCUCUCUGUGGAGUCUUUGCACUUCUGCUUUCCCUCCUGAAAUGCUCUUCCUCUCAGUGUCUUCAUCCUACCUCCCUCAGCUCUUUCAUCUUGUUUAA
rnacentral:lncRNA from 1 species